GUCAAACUGGACACAACUGCCAAGGAAGCAAGGGCUCGCCUAAAGGACGUGGACGUUGGAUUAGGAGCAGAAGAAGUCCUAAAGGUGAUGUGAUUGUCCAACAAUUUGGAAAUUUCUUGUCUCUGGAGGCGAAAGAUGAAUCAUUCUCCUCUUUCCAACCCAUGCGUACAAGACUGGACGUUUUCUUGCAUGGACACCUCCAUCAAUCCUACCCUGAACUCUGGACUUUCUGCAGGAAACUUCUGCUUCUUUCCCAUGGCCAAGCAACAGUUGAGAGGGGCUUUUCUGUAAAUAAGGAGGUAGAGGCUGAUAACAUGAAGGAGGACACAGUGGUUGCUCAGAGGAUGAUAUGUGACUACGUUUCUGUCUGUGGGGGGGUUCUCAAAGUACCUCUGACUAAGGAGCUUUUGGCAGCUGCAGCGUCAGCUAGGUCUCAAUAUCGGCUACAUCUGGACCAGGAAAAGAGAAAGCAUGCGAGCAAUGCUCAAAGAGAAAAGAGAAAA